GGUUAAGCGACUAAGCGUACACGGUGGAUGCCUAGGCAGUCAGAGGCGAUGAAGGGCGUGCUAAUCUGCGAAAAGCGUCGGUAAGCUGAUAUGAAGCGUAAUAACCGACGAUACCCGAAUGGGGAAACCCAGUGCAAUUCGUUGCACUAUUGCAUGGUGAAUACAUAGCCAUGCAAGGCGAACCGGGGGAACUGAAACAUCUAAGUACCCCGAGGAAAAGAAAUCAACCGAGAUUCCCCCAGUAGCGGCGAGCGAACGGGGAAGAGCCCAGAGUCUGAAUCAGUUUGUGUGUUAGUGGAAGCGUCUGGAAAGUCGCACGGUACAGGGUGAUAGUCCCGUACACAAAAACACACUGGCUGUGAACUCGAUGAGUAGGGCGGGACACGUGACAUCCUGUCUGAAUAUGGGGGGACCAUCCUCCAAGGCUAAAUACUCCUGACUGACCGAUAGUGAACCAGUACCGUGAGGGAAAGGCGAAAAGAACCCCGGCGAGGGGAGUGAAAUAGAACCUGAAACCGUGUACGUACAAGCAGUGGGAGCACCUUCGUGGUGUGACUGCGUACCUUUUGUAUAAUGGGUCAGCGACUUAUAUUUUGUAGCAAGGUUAACCGAAUAGGGGAGCCGUAGGGAAACCGAGUCUUAACUGGGCGUCUAGUUGCAAGGUAUAGACCCGAAACCCGGUGAUCUAGCCAUGGGCAGGUUGAAGGUUGGGUAACACUAACUGGAGGACCGAACCGACUAAUGUUGAAAAAUUAGCGGAUGACUUGUGGCUGGGGGUGAAAGGCCAAUCAAACCGGGAGAUAGCUGGUUCUCCCCGAAAGCUAUUUAGGUAGCGCCUCGUGAACUCAUCUUCGGGGGUAGAGCACUGUUUCGGCUAGGGGUCCAUCCCGGAUUACCAAACCGAUGCAAACUCCGAAUACCGAAGAAUGUUAUCACGGGAGACACACGGCGGGUGCUAACGUCCGUCGUGAAGAGGGAAACAACCCAGACCGCCAGCUAAGGUCCCAAAGUCAUGGUUAAGUGGGAAACGAUGUGGGAAGGCAUAGACAGCCAGGAUGUUGGCUUAGAAGCAGCCAUCAUUUAAAGAAAGCGUAAUAGCUCACUGGUCGAGUCGGCCUGCGCGGAAGAUGUAACGGGGCUAAACCAUGCACCGAAGCUGCGGCAGCGACGCUUAGGCGUUGUUGGGUAGGGGAGCGUUCUGUAAGCCGUUGAAGGUGGCCUGUGAGGGCUGCUGGAGGUAUCAGAAGUGCGAAUGCUGACAUAAGUAACGAUAAUGCGGGUGAAAAACCCGCACGCCGGAAGACCAAGGGUUCCUGUCCAACGUUAAUCGGGGCAGGGUGAGUCGACCCCUAAGGCGAGGCUGAAAAGCGUAGUCGAUGGGAAACAGGUUAAUAUUCCUGUACUGGGUGUGACUGCGAAGGGGGGACGGAGAAGGCUAGGCUAGCCGGGCGACGGUUGUCCCGGUUUAAGCAUGUAGGCGGAGUGACUUGGUAAAUCCGGUUGCUUAUCAACGCUGAGGUGUGAUGACGAGCCACUACGGUGGUGAAGUAGUUGAUGCCAAGCUUCCAGGAAAAGCCUCUAAGCAUCAGGUGACAUUCAAUCGUACCCCAAACCGACACAGGUGGUCAGGUAGAGAAUACUCAGGCGCUUGAGAGAACUCGGGUGAAGGAACUAGGCAAAAUGGUGCCGUAACUUCGGGAGAAGGCACGCUGGCAUUAGGUAAAGAGACUUGCUCUCGGCGCCGAAGCCAGUCGCAGAUACCAGCUGGCUGCAACUGUUUAAUAAAAACACAGCACUGUGCAAACACGAAAGUGGACGUAUACGGUGUGACGCCUGCCCGGUGCUGGAAGGUUAAUUGAUGGGGUCAGCCGCAAGGCGAAGCUCUUGAUCGAAGCCCCAGUAAACGGCGGCCGUAACUAUAACGGUCCUAAGGUAGCGAAAUUCCUUGUCGGGUAAGUUCCGACCUGCACGAAUGGCGUAAUGAUGGCCAGGCUGUCUCCACCCGAGACUCAGUGAAAUUGAACUCGCUGUGAAGAUGCAGUGUACCCGCGGCAAGACGGAAAGACCCCGUGAACCUUUACUAUAGCUUGACACUGAAUAUUGAGCCUUGAUGUGUAGGAUAGGUGGGAGGCAUCGAAGCGUGGACGCCAGUCUGCGUGGAGCCAACCUUGAAAUACCACCCUUUAAUGUUUGAUGUUCUAACUCGGCCCCAUAAUCUGGGGUGAGGACAGUGUCUGGUGGGUAGUUUGACUGGGGCGGUCUCCUCCCAAAGAGUAACGGAGGAGCACGAAGGUUAGCUAAUCACGGUCGGACAUCGUGAGGUUAGUGCAAAGGCAUAAGCUAGCUUGACUGCGAGAGUGACGGCUCGAGCAGGUACGAAAGUAGGUCUUAGUGAUCCGGUGGUUCUGAAUGGAAGGGCCAUCGCUCAACGGAUAAAAGGUACUCCGGGGAUAACAGGCUGAUACCGCCCAAGAGUUCAUAUCGACGGCGGUGUUUGGCACCUCGAUGUCGGCUCAUCACAUCCUGGGGCUGAAGUAGGUCCCAAGGGUAUGGCUGUUCGCCAUUUAAAGUGGUACGCGAGCUGGGUUUAGAACGUCGUGAGACAGUUCGGUCCCUAUCUGCCGUGGGCGUUGGAAGAUUGAGAGGGGCUGCUCCUAGUACGAGAGGACCGGAGUGGACGCAUCACUGGUGUUCGGGUUGUCAUGCCAAUGGCAUUGCCCGGUAGCUAAAUGCGGAAAAGAUAAGCGCUGAAAGCAUCUAAGCGCGAAACUUGCCUCGAGAUGAGUCUUCCCUGGGGCUUUAAGCCCCCUGAAGGAACGUUAAAGACUAUGACGUUGAUAGGCUGGGUGUGUAAGUGCAGCGAUGCAUUGAGCUAACCAGUACUAAUGAUCCGUGAGGCUUAACCUU
rnacentral:rRNA from 1 species